rnacentral:rRNA from 1 species
AUGGCAGGGAUCCGCGCUGUUGCUCCUCCAUUGGACCGGAUCCACGCCGCAACGCCUCCAUGGCCACCGGAACAGGGCCCACCAGCGACCAUCCGCCGCCGCACGGGACUCACCGGCGACUACCCGCCCAACCGUCGACCCUCUGCCUCCUCUGUCACCGGCGAACAUCUCCCAGCGCCUCACCUGAGUCCAUCUCCGCCCUGUUUGACGCGCACAAGCACGGGCCCCGGCUUCUCACCGAUGUUGGCCCCCGAGCGUCCACCCACCCUCCGGCCUCCGGCCACACAGCCGGCGGCGGCUCCCUUUUUCUUGCAGCCGCUCGCUCUCCUCCAUGGAGGCCUCUUGCCGUCGCCACCCUACAACCCCGAACUUUGGCAGCCAUCUCUCCUCGCUGUCAUGUUUCUCAUCGCGAUUGUCGUCAGUCCAUCUGCAUCGAGGCAAUCCUACCGCAGCAGCUGUGUUCGACGCCGGCUACCUCCUCAGCGUCGAGGUCUCCCACCAAGCCGGGCAUGCCACUGCUCCAUCCUUCGUGAAGAUGUAGCAGGUCGGGCUAUGAAGCAAGAGAAGGUCGGACUGCAAAGAAGUUGA